CUCUGAUACCAAAUGAUAAGACCCUAAAGUCUUAUCGUAGGCUCUGAUACCAAAUGAUAAGACCCUAAAGUCUUAUCGUAGGCUCUGAUACCAAAUGAUAAGACCCUAAAGUCUUAUCGUAGGCUCUGAUACCAAAUGAUAAGACCCUAAGGUCUUAUCGUGGAAGAAAUGGGAGAAAAGGGAAUGAUAAUGAUCACUUCGAGGGGAUCGGCCCUCCUUGAUCUCUUCGA
rnacentral:lncRNA from 1 species